AACGAACGCUGGCGGCAUGCCUAACACAUGCAAGUCGAACGAGACCUUCGGGUCUAGUGGCGCACGGGUGCGUAACGCGUGGGAACCUGCCCUUAGGUUCGGAAUAACUCCCCGAAAGGGGUGCUAAUACCGGAUAAUGUCUUCGGACCAAGGAUUUAUCGCCUUUGGAUGGGCCCGCGUUGGAUUAGCUAGUUGGUAGGGUAAAAGCCUACCAAGGCGACGAUCCAUAGCUGGUCUGAGAGGAUGAUCAGCCACACUGGGACUGAGACACGGCCCAGACUCCUACGGGAGGCAGCAGUGGGGAAUAUUGGACAAUGGGCGAAAGCCUGAUCCAGCAAUGCCGCGUGAGGGAUGAAGGCCUUAGGGUUGUAAAGCUCUUUUACCCGGGAUGAUAAUGACAGUACCGGGAGAAUAAGCUCCGGCUAACUCCGUG
rnacentral:rRNA from 1 species